rnacentral:rRNA from 1 species
ACGAACGCUGGCGGCGUGCCUAAUACAUGCAAGUUGAGCGCUGAAGGUUGGUACUUGUACCAACUGGAUGAGCAGCGAACGGGUGAGUAACGCGUGGGGAAUCUGCCUUUGAGCGGGGGACAACAUUUGGAAACGAAUGCUAAUACCGCAUAAAAACUUUAAACACAAGUUUUAAGUUUGAAAGAUGCAAUUGCAUCACUCAAAGAUGAUCCCGCGUUGUAUUAGCUAGUUGGUGAGGUGAAGGCUCACCAAGGCGAUGAUACAUAGCCGACCUGAGAGGGUGAUCGGCCACAUUGGGACUGAGACACGGCCCAAACUCCUACGGGAGGCAGCAGUAGGGAAUCUUCGGCAAUGGACGAAAGUCUGACCGAGCAACGCCGCGGGAGUGAAGAAGGUUUUCGGAUCGUAAAACUCUGUUGGUAGAGAAGAACGUUGGUGAGAGUGGAAAGCUCAUCAAGUGACGGUAACUACACAGAAAGGGACGGCUAACUACGUG